AGCCCUAGAAAUUAUCUAAGGUGAAACCUGCCCAAUGACUAAAACAACACACCUAAAAAGAGAAAUAAUAGUCAAAUGGCUGCAGUAUCCCUGACUGUAUUAAGGUAGCACAAUCAAUCGCCGCCUAAUUGGCGGAUAGUAUGAACGGUACUACGAAAAUUCCACUGUCUCAAGCGCGGCCUAAAAAAAAUUGAAAUAAUAGUUAAGAUGCUAUUUAAAAUCGUAAGACGAUAAGACCCUAUAAAGCUUAACUACAACCUUAUCAACCAACUAAAGGUAAGGAAAGGUAGUUUACUUGGGGCAAGGACUUUUUAAAACAAAAAAAAGUAAGCAAAAGCAAAUAAAAAAAAAAGCUUAUUGUAUAAACUAUAAAUUUAACAAUCACAAAGUGGGCUAUAAUGACCCGUUAACACUAGAAACAGGUUAACGACUAUUUGAUAAAAGCUACUUUAGGGAUAACAGGAUAAUUUCAUUAAAGAGAUGGAAUCGCUAAUGAAGUUUGUCACCUCGAUGUUGAAUUAAGAUAACCGAGCGGAGCAGAAACUGCUUAAGGUAGGUCUGUUCGACCUUUAAAUAUCUUA
rnacentral:rRNA from 1 species